GAUGAACGCUAGCGGCAGGCCUAAUACAUGCAAGUCGAGGGGCAGCAGGGGUAGCAAUACUCGCUGGCGACCGGCGCACGGGUGCGUAACGCGUAUGUAAUCUGCCCACUACAGGGGGAUAGCCCGGAGAAAUUCGGAUUAAUACCCCAUAAAACAGGGAUCCCGCAUGGGAAUAUUGUUAAAGCUCCGGCGGUAGUGGAUGAACAUGCGUCCGAUUAGCUAGUUGGUUGAGGUAACGGCUCACCAAGGCGACGAUCGGUAGGGGGUCUGAGAGGAUGAUCCCCCACACUGGUACUGAGAUACGGACCAGACUCCUACGGGAGGCAGCAGUAAGGAAUAUUGCGCAAUGGGCGAAAGCCUGACGCAGCGACGCCGCGUGGGGGAUGAAGGUCUUCGGAUUGUAAACCCCUUUCGGGAGGGAAGAUGGAACGAGCAAUCGUUCGGACGGUACCUCCAGAAGCAGCCACGGCCAACUUCGUGCCAGCAGCC
rnacentral:rRNA from 1 species